GGCCUCGCUUUCUUUCCCCAUGCUCUGCACUCUGCCACGCACCCCUUCCUCGGCCAGGCGGACAGAGGAAAUGCAGAUGCUGGAGGCAGGAGCACUGGACU